rnacentral:rRNA from 1 species
UGAAGUUGGAAUUGCUAGUAAUGGCAGGUCAGCAUACUGCCGUGAAUACGUUCCCGGGCCUUGUACACACCGCCCGUCACACCAUGAGAGUUGGAGAUACCCGAAGCCUGUGAGCUAACUCUUUAAGAGGCAGCAGUCGAAGGUAGAAUCAAUGAUUGGGGUGAAGUCGUAACAAGGUAUC